AGGAAAUGAAAGCAAAAUUAGCAAAGCGUCAGCUGAGAGACUGCGGAAAACAUCCACAAUCAGCUCCGUUUGGUGGUUUUUGUAAAUUGUUUCACAUGCAAGUAAACAUUAAGGCUUUUCUGGUGGACAUGGCAGGUGCUGGGAUCUCUGUCUCUGAGGAUGAGCUAUUGUGCUGCAUCUGCCUGGAUGCGUUCAUUGAGCCGGUAACCCUACUAUGUGGACACUAUUUUUGCUGGAAAUGCAUCACCAAACACUGGGGCUAUGCUGACAGAUAUCAGUGUCCCCUGUGUAACAAGUGCUUCAGCACCAUACAUGGGCUUCAAGUUAAUCCUGCAAUGUCUGAACUAACUGAUCAGUUCAGGGAUUUGGCUCAGGAGACAGCCAGCAGUUGCAGCUCAGAAGGACAAGCCAAUGCAGGAAAGGUUCUGUGUGACGUUUGCACUAAGAAGGCUCAGAAGUCCUGCCUGGUGUGUCUCAGCUCCUACUGUAAGACUCAUGUGGUGUUUCAUCAGCGCUUCCCAGGUCUGAGGAGACAUACACUGAUAGAUCCUGUGGAGGGGCUAGAACACAGAAUGUGCAAGAAGUAUCAAAAAGUUUCACAGAUGUUGCACAAACUUUUUUCAAACUGAUUUGUGUUACUCAGAUCACUGUUAAUAAGAACGUCUAGCAGCGGUCCUCACAGUAAAUAGUGUCUAACUUGACUGACUUUAACCUCUUAAGCCCGAGGGUCCCCUUACAAGGGGACUUGGCCUCUUUAGCUUGUAACCGACUAACUCUGAGAGUGACACAGACUUGUCAUAUGUCCAGAUCUUCAUCUGAGACCCCUCUACAAAUGUAUCUACAUCAUUCUUAUAUCCAAUGACCACAGCUCAAACGCCAUGCAAAAAAACAUGCAUAUAGCCAAAAUGCAACCUAUGACCAAGAACUGUUUUGUAGUGUGGCAUGAUUCAAAGUGAACUGUUUUUCAUUUUCUCUAUUUCAUUAUACUUUAUUUGUAUAUAUAGUUUGGAAAUAAAGUUAAAAUAAAGGGUGCUGAAAAAAUAAAAA